rnacentral:rRNA from 1 species
UUGAAAGGGAAACGAUUGAAGUCAGUCGUACCAGCGGGAAAUCAACCUUUCGAGUGGGGUUUUGGGGUUUUGAAGAGUGUUAAGCCUNNGAGAUUUCGAAACGUUCGCUCUUUUGGUGUACUUUCUCGUAGGUAGGUUAGCAUCGAUUUUGAUCAUCAUAAAAAGAUUGGAGGAAUGUAGCUUCGAUCUUGUAUUGAAGUGUUAUAGCCUUUGGUAAAUGUGAUGGUUAGGAUCGAGGAUUGCAACGAAUACCCUUUUGGGCUAUCCGCCUGAUCUCUGAUACGUGGCCUUGGUAUCGAAAGCUUGCUUAUGGUAUUAAGGUAUUACGGUCAAAAGGUUAGAACGGAUUACAUUCGUUAAGGAUGUUGACGUA